rnacentral:rRNA from 1 species
GGACAACUGCCCUGAGGACUGGAAUAAUCCCGGGAAACUGGGGGUAAUUCCAGAUAUGUCAGAACUCCUGGAAUGGGUUCUGGCAGAAAGGCUCCGGCGCCUCAGGAUGGGUCUGCGGCCUAUCAGGGUAGUAGUGGGUGUAACGUACCUACUAGCCUACGACGGGUACGGGUUGUGAGAGCAAGAGCCCGGAGAUGGAUUCUGAGACAUGAAUCCAGGCCCUACGGGGUGCAGCAGGCGCGAAAACUUUACAAUGCGGGCAACCGCGAUAAGGGGACCUCGAGUGCUGGGUUACAAACCUGGCUGUUGGGCUGCCUAAAAAGCAGUCUAUAGCAAGGGCCGGGCAAGACCGGUGCCAGCCGCCGCGGUAACACCGGCGGCUCGAGUGGUAACCGCUAUUAUUGGGUCUAAAGGGUCUGUAGCCGGCCGACUAAGUCUCUUGGGAAAUCUGGCAUCUCAAGUGUCAGGCUGCCAGGGGAUACUGGUCAGCUUGGGACCGGGAGAGGUGAGAGGUACCUCAGGGGUAGGGGUGAAAUCUUGUAAUCCUUGAGGGACCACCAGUGGCGAAGGCGUCUCACCAGAACGGAUCCGACGGCAAGGGACGUAAGCUAGGGGCACGAACCGGAUUAGAUACCCGGGUAGUCCUAGCCGUAAACGAUACUCGCUGGGUGUCGGCCACGGUGCGACCGUGGUCGGUGCCGUAGGGAAGCCGUGAAGCGAGCCACCUGGGAAGUACGGCCGCAAGGCUGAAACU